ACAACUUUCAGCAACGGAUCUCUUGGUUCUCGCAUCGAUGAAGAACGCAGCGAAUUGCGAUAAGUAAUGUGAAUUGCAGCCUCUGGGAAUGAGUUAAUCAUCGAAUCUUUGAACGCACCUUGCGCUCCUUGGUUUUCCGAGGAGCAUGCCUGUUUGAGUGUCA
rnacentral:rRNA from 1 species